UGGCGGACGGGUGAGUAACGCGUGGGGAACCUGCCCUGUACCGGGGGAUAGCAGCCGGAAACGGCUGAUAAUACCGCAUAAGCGCACGAAUGUCGCAUGACAUGGUGUGAAAAACUCCGGUGGUAUAGGAUGGACCCGCGUCUGAUUAGCCGGUUGGUGGGUAAAAGCCUACCAAAGCGAAGAUCAGUAGCCGAGUUGAGAGACUGACCGGCCACAUUGGGACUGAGACACGGCCCAGACUCCUACGGGAGGCAGCAGGC
rnacentral:rRNA from 1 species